rnacentral:rRNA from 1 species
UGCAAGUCGAGCGGCAGCACUGGGUACUUGUACCUGGUGGCGAGCGGCGGACGGGUGAGUAAUACCUAGGAAUCUGCCUGGUAGUGGGGGAUAACGUUCGGAAACGGACGCUAAUACCGCAUACGUCCUACGGGAGAAAGCAGGGGACCUUCGGGCCUUGCGCUAUCAGAUGAGCCUAGGUCGGAUUAGCUAGUUGGUGAGGUAAUGGCUCACCAAGGCUACGAUCCGUAACUGGUCUGAGAGGAUGAUCAGUCACACUGGAACUGAGACACGGUCCAGACUCCUACGGGAGGCAGCAGUGGGGAAUAUUGGACAAUGGGCGAAAGCCUGAUCCAGCCAUGCCGCGUGUGUGAAGAAGGUCUUCGGAUUGUAAAGCACUUUAAGUUGGGAGGAAGGGCCGUUACCUAAUACGUGAUGGUUUUGACGUUACCGACAGAAUAAGCACCGGCUAACUCUGUGCCAGCAGCCGCGGUAAUACAGAGGGUGCAAGCGUUAAUCGGAAUUACUGGGCGUAAAGCGCGCGUAGGUGGUUCGUUAAGUUGGAUGUGAAAUCGCCGGGCUCAACCUGGGAACUGCAUUCAAAACUGUCGAGCUAGAGUAUGGUAGAGGGUGGUGGAAUUUCCUGUGUAGCGGUGAAAUGCGUAGAUAUAGGAAGGAACACCAGUGGCGAAAGCGACCACCUGGACUGAUACUGACACUGAGGUG